rnacentral:rRNA from 1 species
CUUAGUGGCGGACGGGUGAGUAACGCGUGGGUAACCUGCCGUAUACAGGGGGAUAACACUUAGAAAUAGGUGCUAAAACCGCAUAAGCGCACAGCGCCGCAUGGCGCAGUGUGAAAAACUCCGGUGGUAUACGAUGGACCCGCGUCUGAUUAGCCAGUUGGCAGGGUAACGGCCUACCAAAGCGACGAUCAGUAGCCGGCCUGAGAGGGUGGACGGCCACAUUGGGACUGAGACACGGCCCAAACUCCUACGGAAGGCAGCAG